GUUUCGAGUUCUUUGACUUUGGUACUUUUCUGUGAGCAACUGUGUAGGAGACGUUGAUUCUCGCCUUUAAAGUCUUCAAGACUUCAACGAAAAGAAACGGCAAAUAUCAGUGCCGUGUUGCAGCUUGUUGUUGGAACUUGUCAAGUCUUCAAGCCUGAAGUCAAACAAAGCCUCAAUUACUUGUCUUUCAUCUUUUCCACUUCGCCUAAAGACUCCACCAAUUCUUCUAUUCUGGAAACAUGAUAGCAACAACAAUGACUAAAUCCCUGACAGGUAGUUAUAGGAUUGAAAUAACAAUGGAUACUCGUAAAAAGAAUUAUUUUUACGGCUGAAAAAGGAUGACAAAGGAGUUUUUAAGGUAUGAAUAUGAAUUCCAAGGCCAAUUACUGGAAAAUACGCUAAUAAUAAAAUGCGUAAUCAUCGAUAGACACUAGGCCACUUUCACGAAUUCCCAACCAAUUAACCACCAUAUCAUUUUCUCAGGUACUGAUGAAUUUUACGUCAAAGCUUUUUGCUCUUUAAGACUUAGGCCCCGUCCACACGUGUCCGCAAAUUUUUGUGUCCGUAUCCGCAAAUUUUACGAAAACGGAUASGUGUGGACGGUGAAA